AUUGAACGCUGGCGGCAGGCCUAACACAUGCAAGUCGAGCGAGCGGCGGACGGGUGAGUAAUGUAUGGGGAUCUGCCCGAUAGAGGGGGAUAACUACUGGAAACGGUGGCUAAUACCGCAUACUAUGGGGUGAACCAAUAUGGGCUUAGCUAGUAGGUGGUGUAAAGGCUCACCUAGGCGACGAUCUCUAGCUGGUCUGAGGGGAUGAUCAGCCACACUGGGACUUGGACCAGGCCCAGACUCCUACGGGAGGCAGCAGUGGGGAAUUUUGCACAAUGGGGGAAAGCCGGAUGCAGCCAGGCCGCGUGUAUGAAGAAGGCCGUAGGGUUUUAAAGUACUUUCAGCGGGGAGGCGGUACCCGCAAAAGAAGCACCGGCUAACUCCGGGCCAGCAGCCGCGGUAAUAC
rnacentral:rRNA from 1 species